CCAGAGACUCCUGGAUCAGUCUUGCUCAGACCCUGGAAGCUGAUUCCACCUCCAGGCUUGCCUGCUCUUCCCACCCCGAGCCAACUUGAUCAGCAGCCCCACGUCCUGCCAGAAAGUGCUGGAAUGAAGCCGUCCUUCCUGACCCCACAUCAGGGUCUCCAGCGCCCAGCAUCCUACCUGACACUGAGGACUGAUCAGUCCCAGCGAAUGUCACUUGGAAGCUGGUCACAGAAGGACAUGCUCCAGGGUGACGUGACUCAUCCCAGGAUCGAGACCAAAACCCAUAGUUCUGCACUGGAGAGCACAGUCCUACAUGAGCCAAGCCUUUGACAGUUUACAGGUACGAGUGGCUAGAAAACAUGUCUAAAGAUGCCCCCGCCCUUGGUCAUCAUGAAGAUGGAAAGCACAACACCAAAGGAGCACCAUUUUUAUGGACUUGUGAUUGCAAGCCAUUAGAGAGUCCAACAAAAAAUAUAUUUGAAAUAAAAGAUAAAUAAAGGGUCCAACAAUAUUAAGUGCUGGAGAAGAUGCUGAGAAACCAAUAAUCUUAUCUGUAGUCCGUGCAACUGUAAACUUGAACAAUGACUUUGGUAAGCGAUUUGGGGACAUAUAGUUAAAGAUGGGAAUACCCGAUGGCCACACAGUUUCACUCCCAGGUUUAUACUUUAAA